rnacentral:tRNA from 1 species
GCGCCCGUAGCUCAGUUGGAUAGAGCGUCAGCCUCCGGAGCUGAAGGUCACACGUUCGAGUCGUGUCGGGCGCGCCA